AUUUCAUAACAUUUUGUUCUACAUAACAAUCUAUAGUAAUAUAAAUAAGUACCCAGUAACAACUUUAAGUGCAAACGUGCUUAAAAUCAUUUAAAUCUAGGCUGUGUAAGGCACUAAUCUAUUAACAAGGCCGAUUCAUCACCUAAACAAUUAUAGUCGAUCUCAUAUUUAAUUUGAUACCAAGUCUAGCUGCCUAAUUUAUUAAGUACUAAUGUAUUAUACUACAUGAUACUUUACUGUAUUCGUCUAACAUAUUAGCCUCACUAUUCAUUACUACAACGAAUAAAGUAUCGAUAGUAAGACUAAUGCUGCUUUCGUGAAUAACUUACGUUGAAUAAAAUUGGCAUACGCACAUGCGCCGUAGGAGUCUAAAUCACAGAUGUAUUAAGGCCAAAUUGAUAAUGAUAAAUCUAUGAUUGUAUAUUUGCACUGAAGAAAGACUUUGUGACUUUAUGACUGUAGAUAAAACUAAAAAACAUUGAUGAUAUAAACACAAAAUUAACUUACAAUGAAAAUAUAUGAGGAAUGUAGUGAUUAUAAGAAUAGCUGCACUGCAAAGAUUAAAAGAACACUAGCCUAACAAAUGAAAAGUGAUAUCCUACAUACUAAAUCCAUAUUAUGAACAAAUAAGUACAAAAAGUAAUUUUGCUAGGCAAUAAUACUGAUUUAGAAAUUUUUACUGCCAAUAUAAAGGCGCUAAUUCUGGCACGAGAGUAGAUAAAUAUCGUAAGGUCACUGGAUAUAUCUAUGUAUCUAGUAUAUAGAUAAUGGUUGAAGGCACUAAAGGUAACCAAUGAGAAGAAACAGUAAUUUAGUCUAAGUAAAUGUCUUAACAUAAAAUACAACCGCUAAACCAAAGUACUAAAUAAAGGUUAAAUAGAAAGUAGGAGGUACUUGCAAUCAUCUUAAUAUUUUAAGUAUCAUUGGGAUUAAAUUGUCAACAUCUUGCUAUGCCAGAAUUUCAAUUUCUAUUAUUUUUAUUUACUUUUUUGUAGUGAUCAGUACUAAACAUAAAAUAAUAAUAAUAUGCCAUAUUAAGUAGCCUUAAUCAUUAAUGCAUUACAACUCUUGUUAAAUAAUAUUAAUGAUAAUAAACGCAAUAAAAAUACUCUCAACAAUAAGUAAAAUGAUUCAAUAUGAAAAUAUGGCUAAAAUUUAUAAAUAGUUAAUUGGAAAAAAAGAAGGAAUGUUGUAUAAUACUAAUUAAUUACAUGCUUAAAUAUUUCUACACAUUCAUAUAUUAUUCAUUACCAUCUAAAUGAUUUUGUCAGAAAUAUAAAAAAAGAUUGCCAACAACAAAUUGGUUAUAAAUACAAAAAAAAAUGGAAUGACUUCACUGAAAAAUCAGAAGUGAUUACAAUAAUGACAACAAAUUACUAUCAUACAUAGUGUCCCACUCAUUGAGGAAGAUCAAAACGAAUUGUAUAACGAAGUAGGACAGAUAUAUUUUUAUUUAUACUUUCAAUAGACAUCCAUUCAUGUAAUAACUAUAAGCGCUUUAAUUCAGUCAAUUAAUUCUAAGAUAUAAUGAUUCAAAAUUUACACCAAGAUUAAACUUUUAAUAUCAACUAUAAAAUAUUAAUGUCACAAAAUUGUGAUCAAUCUUCUACAUAACAGAUCACAACCAAAUCACAUUGUUGCUUUUCCUCAAUGAGCAGGUAUUACAAGAGAAAGUUGUGAUACAAACAACUUUGGUAUGUCAUGCUACUCUGAUUUGUAACAAUAGUUCUGUUAUGCAUCUAAUUUGAUGCAAAAUAGCGACAGAAGGUAAGGUGGGGCAAUCAUCACUCAUCUAUGACUUGUCAAUUAGUUUUCUAAGCCAACGUGCUAGCUAACUUCUUAAUUUGUUAAAUAUAAUCUUAUCCAUAUAUCGUAUGGAAAGGUAAAGCUGAGGUCGAGUCAUUUCUAAAAAAUACCGCUUUGUAAACUUGUUACAAUAUCACUCGCUAACUAGACAUGGUGGCAACCACGUAGCAUAAUUCAUCGGUUAGCUAGUUAACUCUUUCACCUGAAAGAGCUGGCCAACUUUUACUAUUCGUCGUGUGUGUAAAAUAUAUUGGCAAUCACUGGCUUAGGUUCUCUGGAGCAUUUUUCCUUAUUUUAAGGCUGUGCUAUUAUAACAUCGGAUAUCCAACACGCCAUACGAAUCGUACAGGGGCUUUCAUGGUAAAUAAGGCUAUGAGGAAUAUCGAAAUAAUUAUGGUGAAGCGGUCAGGCAGAAUAAUAGGUAAGCAACAUUUAGGAAAUGACAGCAUCAGAAAAGAUGCAUGGAUAAAUUCGCAUCAUUGAAUUUUAGUUACUUCUGCACAUUCGGUAAAAUGUUCUGGAGCUGGGUCAUAAUCUCACUGGGGCAAUUCAUUUUACUCCAGACCGCCGGCUUUGCUCGACGAACGGUACGAGAUCCGGCGGGCCACGGCCUGGGCGGAAGAAAGUACGGAGUUUGUCCAAUACUUUUGGUCAUUAUGGGUCGCUGCGGAUAUGAAAGAAAGUACUGACAUUUCACUGGGGGCAAUUUGUUCUACAGCAGACCGCCGGCUUCGCUCGAUGAACGACAUGAGAUUCGGCGGGUCACGGCCUAGACCAGGGGUUCCCUAAGCGGGGGGCGCACCCCCCACGUGAGGCGCAAAGACCUUCAAAGGGGGGCGCAGGCCAUCUGUGUAGUUAAGUAUUAUAAAACCUGCGACCGCGGAGAGAAUACAUUCUAAACUGCUCGAUACGACCAAUAAAUAAUCUGGACUGGAGGAUGGGGGCGCGGAUUUUUUUGUAUGUUCGAAAGGGGGCGCGUAUCAAAUAGGUUUGGGGACCCCUGGCCUAGACGGAAGAAAGUACGGAGCUUGGUCAUUAUGGGUCGCUGCGGAUAUGGAAGAAAGUACUGACAUUUGUUUACUGCUGCACGUGUGGAUGGUGUUGCAUCAGCGGCACAAGUAAAGCCGGCGG